ACACAACCACACUGCUUUUCGAUUUAAACAGUUCUUUAAUCCAAUUUCUGUACUCCACCUCAGCAAGUGGACCAGCGCUUAAAUCGAGAUCACAAUCUCGG